AUGGAUCACAAUCUUGAGAUUAUCUUCUGGAAUGUGCACGACCUAAAUUCCGGUGCUAAGCGUAUGGCCGUCUGUAGUUUGAUCUCCGCUGCCGCCCCCACCAUUGUGUGCCUGCAAGAAACCAAGCUUGCUCAUAUCUCGGACUCCACGGUCCUCGACAGCCUAGGACCCCUAUUUGAGGGUUUCUACUUCCUCCUGGCCUCUGGUACACGCGGUGGCGUGCUCCUCACGUGGCGUAGAUCGCAUGUCUCCCUCUCUAACCCAUCGAUUGGCAAACAAUCAUAUCACAACUCUAGUUUCCCCCGCAAACGGUAG
rnacentral:rRNA from 1 species